AUUGAACGCUGGCGGCAGGCUUAACACAUGCAAGUCGAGCGAGCGGCGGACGGGUGAGUAAUGUCUGGGAAACUGUCCGAUGGAGGGGGAUAACUACUCGAAACGGUAGCUCAUACCGCAUACCAUCAGAUGUGCCCCGAUGGGAUUAGCUCGUAGGUGGGGUAACGGCUCACCUAGGCGACGCUCCCUAGCUGGUCUGAGAGGAUGACCAGCCACACUGGAACUGAGACACGGUCCAGACUCCUACGGGAGGCAGCAGUGGGGAAUAUUGAACAAUGGGCGCAAGCCUGAUGCAGCCAUGCCGCGUGUGUGAAGAAGGCCUUCGGGUUGUAAAGCACUUUCAGCGGGGAGGCGUUACCCGCAGAAGAAGCACCGGCUAACUCCGUGCCAGCAGCCGCGGUAAUAC
rnacentral:rRNA from 1 species